GAGGGUGAUCGGCCACACUGGAACUGAGACACGGUCCAGACUCCUACGGGAGGCAGCAGUAGGGAAUCUUCCGCAAUGGGCGAAAGCCUGACGGAGCAACGCCGCGUGAGUGAUGAAGGUCUUCGGAUCGUAAAACUCUGUUAUUAGGGAAGAACAUAUGUGUAAGUAACUGUGCACAUCUUGACGGUACCUAAUCAGAAAGCCACGGCUAACUACGUGCCAGCAGCCGCGGUAAUACGUAGGUGGCAAGCGUUAUCCGGAAUUAUUGGGCGUAAAGCGCGCGUAGGCGGUUUUUUAAGUCUGAUGUGAAAGCCCACGGCUCAACCGUGGAGGGUCAUUGGAAACUGGAAAACUUGAGUGCAGAAGAGGAAAGUGGAAUUCCAUGUGUAGCGGUGAAAUGCGCAGAGAUAUGGAGGAACACCAGUGGC
rnacentral:rRNA from 1 species